CAGCCGUGCGGUAAGCACAGAGCGAACUAUUCUUUCGCCUUUUACUAAAGAAUAACGUGUGCUUGCCCCGGCAUACGCCUAUUUUUGGAGGGUGUUUCUCUUUAUAAGAGGAGC